AGAGUUUGAUCCUGGCUCAGAACGAACGCUGGCGGCGUGCCUAACACAUGCAAGUCGAACGCGAAAGUUUUCUUCGGAAAGCGAGUAGAGUGGCGCACGGGUGAGUAACACGUGGAUAACCUGCCCUGGGAUUCGGGAUAACCUUUCGAAAGAAGGGCUAAUACCGAAUAAGCCCACAUUAUCUUCGGAUUUUGUGGGAAAAGAUUUAUCGUCCCAGGAUGGGUCCGCGGUCCAUUAGCUAGUUGGUGGGGUAAUGGCCUACCAAGGCUGCGAUGGAUAGCUGGUCUGAGAGGAUGAUCAGCCACACUGGAACUGAGACACGGUCCAGACUCCUACGGGAGGCAGCAGUGGGGAAUUUUGCGCAAUGGGGGAAACCCUGACGCAGCAACGCCGCGUGAAGGAUGAAGGCCUUUGGGUCGUAAACUUCUGUCAGAGGGGAAGAAAUACCCGCAAGGGUGCUGACGGUACCCUCAAAGGAAGCACCGGCUAACUCCGUGCCAGCAGCCGCGGUAAUACGGAGGGUGCAAGCGUUGUUCGGAAUUAUUGGGCGUAAAGGGCGUGCAGGCGGUCUGUUAAGUCUGGUGUGAAAGCCCGGGGCUCAACCCCGGAAGUGCAUUGGAUACUGGCAGACUUGAGUAUGGAAGAGGAAAGCGGAAUUCCGAGUGUAGGAGUGAAAUCCGUAGAUAUUCGGAGGAACACCAGUGGCGAAGCGGCUUUCUGGACCAAUACUGACGCUGAGACGCGAAAGCGUGGGUAGCAAACAGGAUUAGAUACCCUGGUAGUCCACGCUGUAAACGAUGGGUACUAGGUGUUGCGGGUAACCACUCCUGCAGUGCCGUAUCUAACGCAUUAUGUACCCCGCCUGGUGAGUACGGCCGCAAGGCUAA
rnacentral:rRNA from 1 species